CACCAAUAGCAGUUAAGCUGCCAGCAUGAUCUUGUCUUCCUCUCUCUUAAGUUUCAUAUAUGAUAAGUAAUUAAGGCUAAUCAUGAUUGUAUAAUCCUUGAUCUAAUAAGAUUAUACGAUGAUAUAUAGCUUUAGAGAGAGAGAGAGACUAGGUCAUGCUGGUAGUUUCACCUGCUAAUGAU
rnacentral:pre_miRNA from 1 species